UACGUAGGGGGCUAGCGUUGUCCGGAAUCAUUGGGCGUAAAGCGCACGUAGGCGGCUUUGUAAGUUAGAGGUGAAAGCCCGGGGCUCAACUCCGGAACUGCCUUUAAGACUGCAUCGCUUGAAUCCAGGAGAGGUGAGUGGAAUUCCGAGUGUAGAGGUGAAAUUCGUAGAUAUUCGGAAGAACACCAGUGGCGAAGGCGGCUCACUGGACUGGUAUUGACGCUGAGGUGCGAAAGCGUGGGGAGCAAACAGG
rnacentral:rRNA from 1 species